AAAGACGGUCUUGCUGUCACUUAUAGAUGGAUCCGCGCUGCAUUAGCUAGUUGGUAAGGUAACGGCUUACCAAGGCAACGAUGCAUAGCCGACCUGAGAGGGGGAUCGGCCACACUGGAACUGAGACACGGUCCAGACUCCUACGGGAGGCAGCAGUAGGGAAUCUUCCGCAAUGGGCGAAAGCCUGACGGAGCAACGCCGCGUGAGUGAUGAAGGUCUUCGGAUCGUAAAACUCUGUUAUUAGGGAAGAACAUAUGUGUAAGUAACUGUGCACAUCUUGACGGUACCUAAUCAGAAAGCCACGGCUAACUACGUGCCAGCAGCCGCGGUAAUACGUAGGUGGCAAGCGUUAUCCGGAAUUAUUGGGCGUAAAGCGCGCGUAGGCGGUUUUUUAAGUCUGAUGUGAAAGCCCACGGCUCAACCGUGGAGGG
rnacentral:rRNA from 1 species